UUAUUAGUUCUGUUAAUUGCUCUUGAGUUUUAGCAUCCUCUCUUCUAUUUACUUUGUUAGUUCGGUUAAUUUUUUGGCAUGUUUUGUCAUGUAUAAUCAUUUCUAUACAAAGUUCCUGACUCUAUGGCAUCAAAGACUUUCUGGCAAGCACACAAAAUCGUGGAGAUUCACCGAUUAAUUCAUCUUCGGCCAUAAUCAAGAUUUGGUGAAACUCUGAAAAUGGAUUAAGGGAGAAUCAAGUGGAGAACAUGGAAAAGAAACACUCAGCCUAACAGGUGAGCAAUGAAGCUUUUGGUCAGAUUUUAUCCUUGAAUUUCUGUUUGAUUUGUUGCUAAAUGCAGUGAAGUUUGCGUAUUUUAGUUUCAUAUUAGCGUUUCAAAGUUACUGGAUUGAAUAGUCAUAGUUGCUCCUACGCGGAGGUUGUGUUGAGUCUCCUAUUUGAUUGAUAUGUUUACGACUUCAUUAUUUGCAUUUCUCUCUUUUAAUGGUUUGCCACUUUGGUGUUCUUGCUUGUUCGAACUCCUGGUAACUUUAAGUCAAUGCGAUUAGCGAAAAUUGCUUUGGAAAUAGCUGCAUGGUUCAUGUGCUUACAUCAAGUUUCUGAAUUACUAGAAGAGAGGAGAAAUUUUAUGCACGUAUAUAACUUGAACUUGCAAAUGUUUCAAAUUGAUAAGAGUAUUGACAUGGGAGAUUAUACGAUCUCUUCUCUAAUUGGUGCUAUCUUGAGGGAUUUUAUGUUGCGUGUCGUAAAUAUUUAGUAGAUCUCCAACACUAAAUGGAUACCAAAACAUUUAGUAAAAGAGCAUUUUUGAACAAACGAUAAAUUGAAAUUAUGUCGAAUAAUUCAAAGAACUUCAAUUAUACCUCCUGUAUAUGUGUAUAUUAUAACAAAAGCCAAUGACAAAUACGAGAUAUUGUGAAUUGUGCACCAACAAAUAUAAAAAAGGAACGAAAAAGAUGUAAAUAAGGAAUAACAGACAUCCCAGAAAAAUGAGAAGUGAUAGACUGUCGCAUAAGGAGAAACCUGAGAAUGGAAAAUGAUUGGUAUUUGCCAUCCUUGACCGAGUUCAUUCUAAAACAAAACUGAAAUAUAUUUGUUUACCUAAGAGUCUCAAGAUAAAGAAGUGUCUUUUCCCUUUUGCCAAGGUUAAAUAAAAGCAUUAUCCUGCACUUCAUCGAAUAAGUUAAAGAUGACAAAGCAUUAAACCCAUAUGACACUAGCUAUAGAGAAAAUCAAAAGAAACUACCAACAAUCAUAAAAAGUUAAGAUAAAGGCCUAGAAAUAGAUAGAGGGGUAAAUAGAAUGUCUUUGAAUAAAAACAAAGAAGGGUAGCUUGGUUGAAGAGUAAAAGGGAUCCAAUGCGGGUAAAAGGGUUAAUUCAUCUGUAUUUUCAUAAUUGAUUGGUGUUUAUUUGUUUUCUGAAGGUAUAAAAGUGGUAAUAUAAGUCUUCUCAUAGUUAAAUGAUAUUUUGGAAUGUCAGAGGUUGGCUACCAAGCUGGGUUCUAUAGCAAGUUACUCAUUGCUGAUGGUUAGGAUGUGCUUGUGUGCUUGAAAAUAUAAACAAUUCCUGUGCGUUUGGGUAUUGUAUUUAUAAUAGUUAACUGUGGUUGGACAAUAUUUCUAGAGCCAUACACUAUUCGUAUGUCCUCUUCCACACAUAUUGUACAGAAAGUGCCAUAUUAUGCCCAUAUUGUAUUUAUUUUGUUAUGAUUAUCCAUGUUUAAUUCAUUAUGGAGGACUAUUUCACUUCCAUUAAAAUAUGGAUAAUAUUUCAAUUUUGGUUAGGCUGGAGACCUAUUGGUUUAUGUCAAGAUAUUGGUCAUAUUUUCUCCGCGUAUUUGAGUAAUUAAAUAUGUUAUGUUAAAGCUCUAGAUGAGUUAUUCUAUUGACAAAAAAGCUUAUGACUUUCCUAGAAGGGUAUGAACUGAGGGAGAAAUUCUUAAACAAGUCGUAUAUGCUAAGAAGCAAACUGAAGCACACGAUAGCUUAGGUUUGUCUAAGAUUAAUCCGUUGAGAAAGGAGAGAUAGAAGACGCUUUGAUGGUGGCAAAACUUUACUUCAACAUCUGAAUAUCUUGCUUUAUUUUUUGUACUUUUGAUGUAAAUCUUUGAAUAUAUUAGUAUUAGUAAAUAUAAAACGAAUACUAGAUUUUUA